CAUUUGAAAACUAUAUGACAUUCAAAGUUCAGUUUCAUCAAGUUCUGUUGAAAGCCAGUCACACUCCCUCGUUUACAUAUUGCUUAUAUCUGCUUUCCCACUACAACGGCAAGGUUGAGUCGUUGACUUGAAAAGCUGAAAGUAUUUACUGGCUGGCCAUUUACAGAAAAAAAAAUUUCCCACUCCCGUCAUAACCAGUAAAGAUAUUUAAUGAUCUCACAUAAGAAGAAACUCAAAAGGACAGGACUCUCGGUCUCCAUCACUGAAGUUCUCUUGGCCUUUUCCUCCUGGUCACCAGAUGGCAGCUUCAGUUCAAUGAGUUACAAUCUACAUUGAAUACAGUAAAGAACAUGGAGAAAAGGCUUGCUGCGGCUUUUUUGGCCAGGAAAAAAACCAAAAAAAGCCCCCUAUGGCAGCUUCCCUUAUCCCAUUGGCCAGACCUAGGUCACAUGACAAACCCUGGGUCCCUCACUGGGAGGGGCCAAACUGCGGUAGCCCAAUGGGGCUGCAAAGGACUCACUUUUCUCGAGAAGUGGGGACAAGGGCCAUUUACACGAAGCCAGCGCCCUGGUCGCACAGAAGAAAGAGGGCAAAGGGCACGGUGUCAGCCCGAGUCACAAAGACGCCUUGCACCUCUGGGUAGACGCAGGAUCCUUUUUAGAACUCAAAUCUGAGCGCUCUUUGUUGACUUGAAUCCACUCCAGGAACGCAGGGUGUGUUUGUGAGUGACUUCCUGCAUUUAGGAUUGUUUGACCUUCCCUUCCUCCUUUAAGUUUUGCUUGGUUGGUUUGGGGCAUUGCUAUGAAUGAUGUUUCCUGGUGAAAGUCCUUCCCUGAGGCCCCACCUGUGCCUCCAGGUAGGAGAAGGGUCGAGGAGUAGGCUGGCGGCAGGAGAAUUUCCCAGGGCACCGUCACCGUCCAGCCAGCUCACAGCUGAACCCAAACAGAGGGAGCGCUCCCCAGGACGGUUAGACUGAAGUCCCGCCCAGCCUCGGAGAGAAGGGGCGAACGCCUGAACUGUUUUGUAGAAAUGCAUCCUGCAAUGCGGCUACUGUUCUACAGAGCCAGGGGGAGAGGAAGCAGAGCUUCAAGUAUCAAAUGGGAACAAUUUUGAAGGCUUCCUGCCUGUACUGUGGCAUCUGGAAAGCUGCAAACCCAGUUCCCUAGACUCCUCUGCAUCGGGGACCCACGAAUCCAUUGUGUUCACUCGGGACUCAGAGGUGGAAAUGAGCUGUGGAAGAAGGUGGCCGCAGGCUGGGAGAGUGGCCUUUUUGAAAAGCACAGAGACAAUGUAUCUGGUCUUGGGUCUUCCGGGGAAAUACAGGAUUUUUGCACAUUCAGUCUCAAACCCCAUGGGUGGCAAUUUGCAGCUGUGAGCAACAGAGGGCUCUCUGUAAACACAGUGGGCUGGAGCAUUUGGGGGCUCUGUUGACCCGAGGGUGGUCCAGUACUGUCCUGGGUCUGAGUAGCAUUCAAGCUUGGUUCUUUGGUCAUGUCCAAAAGUCCGUAAGGAACCCAAUAAAUAAACUUGAAUAGA